AGUGACACUGCAGCCACACAACGGAUGUAUGUUGGCGCUGUGGAAUAUAACACAACCUCAGAGACACAACAGAGUCACACUGACCAACAAAAAGAAAGUCCGAAUCUGAGCUGCAGACAACCCGUUUGUUGUAAAGAGCUCCUGAAAAGACAUUUCCCGAGGACUGCACGCAGACCUGUCCAAUGAGGAGACGCGGUGCGCACGCGCCCAGAGAGAGGCGGGAGUGGAGGCCGCGUGCUCCACUAACCUACUUACCAUAAUCUCCCAGUUCUCCUCAUUUCAUAACUGUGCCUAAGUUACAUGAUACACUCGUCAUCUUGCCCACGCUUGCAAAUCAAUUAUUUUCAUCAGACCCGUUAUCAAUAAGAUUGGCCUUUUGGGAGAUUGCCGCGUGCCAGCUGGAUUGGACUGCUCUGCUUUCUGCGCACGAGCGCAGUUUAGAGCGCGCGCGGGACUGAUGGAUGGACAGACUUUGUACCGCUCUCUGUUUUUUUUAUUUUUUUUGUGACUAAAACACAUACAAACACAACAUUCUAGUCUUUAAAUGAUGUGACAAAAGGAAAAUAAAAAUCAAAAGCAGCUUGAAGAUUAGAGUUUGUUAAUCCUGUGAUUCAAUCAGAGCUCCUGAUCCGCGAGAAGCCGAAUGAAAAGUGAGACGUGACUAUGGAUUCACGUCACAAACAUCAGAUUCCUAUUAUUUAGAAUACAUUUUUAAAAUAAAUAAGCGUCUUUUUCCAAAUCAA